rnacentral:tmRNA from 1 species
GGGCUUGUACUGGUUUCGACGGGGAUGUUGAAGUUUGGGAAGCCAUCCGUAGACUCCGGAACUACGUUAAAAGCUGGAACCUAAACAUAAAAGCAGACGACAACAAGUUAGCUUUAGUUGCCUGAGGGCGGCUUGUCGGACCGCAGUUUCCUGUCGCUGCGGAUCCCGGCAUCGAUGAGGCGGGAUCCUCUUCUUCCAAAGCUUUGAGGUUGAAGAACAGUUUAUGAAGCUACCCAAAGGCUGAGUUCGUCAUCGGGUGCGGCCUGAGGGGAAUUUAUAACCGAUGACUGUGAUGGAAGAUGCCUGAAUGGAUAUGUUUUCGGACCGGGGUUCGACUCCCCGCAGGUCCAC